AUCUGCAUUGGUGGUUCAGUGGU
rnacentral:piRNA from 1 species